UUCUCUGUGUAGCCCUGGCUGUCCUGGAACUCACUCUGUAGGCCAGGCUGGCCUUGAACUCAGAGAUCCACCUGCCUCUGCCUCCUGAGUGCUGGAAUCAAAGGCAUGCGCACCACUGAC
rnacentral:miRNA from 1 species